rnacentral:rRNA from 1 species
CAUGAUGCAGGGGGGUAACUCGGCUCGUGCGUCGAUGAAGAGCGCAGCCAGCUGCGUUACUUAAUGUGAAUUGCAGGACACAUUGAACAUCGACAUCUUGAACGCAAAUGGCGGCUUCGGUGUACAGCCCGGAGCCACGCCUGUCUGAGGGUCG